CUAUUGACAUGGCUCAGGAUGAACGCUGGCGGCGGCCUAAUACAUGCAAGUCGAGCGAACAGAUGAGAAGCUGCUUCUCUGAUGUUAGCGGCGGACGGGUGAGUAACACGUGGGUAACCUACAUAAGACUGGGAUAACUCCGGGAAACCGGGGCUAAUACCGGAUAAUAUUUUGAACCGCAUGGUUCAAUAUGAAGACGGUUUCGACUGUCACUUAUAGAUGGACCCGCGCCGUAUUAGCUAGUUGGUAAGGUAAUGGCUUACCAAGGCAACGAUACGUAGCCGACCUGAGAGGGUGAUCGGCCACACUGGAACUGAGACACGGUCCAGACUCCUACGGAGGCAGCAGUAGGGAAUCUUCCGCAAUGGGCGAAAGCCUGACGGAGCAACGCCUUGUGAGUGAUGAAGGUCUUAGGAUCGUAAAACUCUGUUGUUAGGGACUCACAAAUAGGUUAGUAACUGAACAAGUCUUGACGGUACCUAACGUGAAAGCCACGGCUAACUACGUGCCAGCAGCCGCGGUAAUACGUAGGUGGCAAGCGUUAUCCGGAGCUAUUGGGCGUAAAGCGCGCGUAGGCGGUUUCUAGAGUCUGAUGUGAAAGCCCACGGCUCAACCGUGGAGGGUCAUUGGAAACUGGCGAACUUGAGUGCAGAAGAGGAGAGUGGAAUUCCAUACGUAGCGGUGAAAUGCGCAGAGAUAUGGAGGAACACCAGUGGCGAAGGCGGCUCUCUGGUCUGUAACUGACGCUGAUGUGCGAAAGCGUGCUGAUCAAACAGGAUUAGAUACCCUGGUAGUCCACGCCGUAAACGAUGAGUGCUAAGUGUUAGGGGACUUCCGCCCCUUAGUGCUGCAGCUAACGCAUUAAGCACUCCGCCUGGGGAGUACGACCGCAAGGUUGAAUUUCAAAGGAAUUGACGGGGACCCGCACAAGCGGUGGAGCAUGUGGUUUAAUUCGAAGCAACGCGAAGACGCUUACCAAAUCUUGACAUCCUUUGAUCGCUCUAGAGAUAGAGUAGUGAGCUACGGGGACAAAGUGACAGGUGGUGCAUGGUUGUCGUCAGCUCGUGCGUGAGAUGUUGGGUUAAGUCCCGCAACGAGCGCAACCCUAAGCUUAGUUGCCAUCAUUAAGUUGGGCACUCUAGGUUGACUGCCGGUGACAAACCGGAGGAAGGUGGGGAUGACGUCAAUCAUCAUGCCCCUUAUGAUUUGGGCUACACACGUGCUACAAUGGAUAAUACAAAGGGCAGCGAACCGCGAGGUCAAGCAAAUCCCAUCAAAUUAUUCUCAGUUCGGAUUGUAGUCUGCAACUCGACUACAUGAAGCUGGAAUCGCUAGUAAUCGUAGAUCAGCAUGCUACGGUGAAUACGUUCCCGGGUCUUGUACACACCGCCCGUCACACCACGAGAGUUUAACACCGAAGCCGGUGGAGUAACCUUAUUAGGAGCUAGUACGCGAAGGUGGGACAGAUGAUUGGACCGAAGUCGUAACAAGGUCGCCGUA
rnacentral:rRNA from 1 species